UACGAAGGGGGCUAGCGUUGUUCGGAAUCACUGGGCGUAAAGGGCGCGUAGGCGGCUUUAUAAGUCAGGGGUGAAAUCCCGGGGCUCAACCCCGGAACUGCCUUUGAUACUGGUAGUCUCGAGUCCGGAAGAGGUGAGUGGAAUUCCGAGUGUAGAGGUGAAAUUCGUAGAUAUUCGGAGGAACACCAGUGGCGAAGGCGGCUCACUGGUCCGGUACUGACGCUGAGGUGCGAAAGCGUGGGGAGCAAACAGG
rnacentral:rRNA from 1 species